UUGAAGCCCUAGAUUGGAUAGCAAUAAGGUCGGAUCGUAUCUUACAUAGCUCUCAAAGCUUUCAAUCUUUUUAUUUUAGUUAUUGCAUAGAUCUUAAAAUGAUCAUUGUGAAAUUUAAUGGUUGAUGUCGUGUAAGAAGGUAAACCAUUCUUUUAUGGGAAAGAUACAAACCGAAACCCAAUAACUGUGAUAUGAAACCUCUCUGAUUGAAGCAAUUAUUAUAUGGGC
rnacentral:lncRNA from 1 species